CCGCCCACCUCAGCCUCCUAAAAUGCUGAGAUUACAGGCAUGAGCCACCCUGCCCAGCCUGGCCUGGUUCUUUUACAAAACAUUCUAGAUGUUUAUGACUCACGUGUCUUUGGUACAAAAGAGGGGUGGGGGAAACAGGGUGUGUCCGGAAUUGGUGGGUUCUUGCUCUCACUGACUUCAAGAAUGAAGCCGCAGACCCUCACGUACCUAACCAUGUGCAAGAGCUUCCACAUACAUGACCUCAUCAUAUCAAGAGUUCUUCAAUGAUACGACUUUCAUUCCUGUGCCAAGUCAAAGAGUUUCAGACAAAGUCAAGAGACCCUCUUGCUUCUACCUGUGGCUCUAAGACAACCUUGAUUCAAACCUUGGUCACCGUGUGCUGAACCCCCAGGUGCCAGACUGGAACGGAGAUGUUUGGUUAGGACAACUUAUAUGGAGAACUUGGAGAGGCGCUGCACUUUACCAUUCAACAUCAGAACACCACCACUGCCACUCUAAGAAAUGGAAGGUCAUGCCUCGUUGAACCUUCCUUUUUGUUCAAGAAGACUAGAAAGGUAUCAUCGCUGCGAUUCUACCUGUAAAAGAACACCUUGAGAAGACGCCAUUCAUCACUCUGUCUGGGGGUGAGUAUAAAGAUGGCACCCAGAGGACCAUCAAGGAGAGAAAACUCCAGGAGAGCUCAUGGAAAUAGUAACACAGCAAAGGGAGAAAGAGAGAAAAGUCGAACUCUGAGUUCCUCUCUAGGGGAAAGGAGGAG